CUCAGAUUAACAGACUUUUCUAUUUCUGAUUAAUUACCGUCACACAUACCACAUCGGUGAUUUAGUUACCUGAUGGUGGGGUUACAGGAGUGGUAUUAUUGGAAGCACUGGGAUUGCUGAGACUCAGUUGUGUUGCAUAAAUGCAUAAAAAGUAUUUUUUUUAAUCUAAAGAAAACAUUCACAAUGUUCUGUAUGAUACUUAGAUGUAUAGCCUGUCCUACCUGUGGUCAUGGUACAUGGUGAGUUCACUUUGGUUGUUGGUGAUUCUUUCUCCAAAAUAUCUAGAAUUAAAAAAACAAAUGGGUAUUUAAGGAGCAGCGUGACAGCUCUCGGGUGUCGGAUUGUUGUCUCGGCCUUGAGUGGUAAAUCAUCAACCGGCUUCUAUGUACUACUUUGAUUUGCACGACAUUCACGGAUUGUCGUCUCUUCUGCUUCCUGACAGUUUGCGACCCUCACUGCCCAGCCAUUCUCAGUCUGGAGCUAUCCUGCCUAACUCUCCAUGCUACCUCCCUGCUCACCUGCGCUACCUGGGGUCCACGUUGUCCCCACUUCAAUCUCCAGCCUUAAGUACCUCUCCCAAGCGUCUAGUAAAUGUGUGGCAAAUCCAGGCAGAGAGCAAAGGAUGAAAACAUAUUCCCCAUGAUAAUGGUGAACACUCAUCUCUGGUUUCUGACCUGCAUGAAGAUCA
ensembl:lncRNA